rnacentral:rRNA from 1 species
GGAGUGUGCAAGCGUUACUCGGAAUCACUGGGCAUAAAGAGCACGUAGGCGGAUCAUCAAGUCGGCCGUGAAAGCCCCCGGCCCAACCGGGGAACUGCGACCGAAACUGGUAGUCUUGAGCGCGAGAGGGGAGAGCGGAACCUCUGGUGGAGCGGUGAAAUGCGUAGAUAUCAGAAGGAACAUCUGUGGUGAAAACGGCUCUCUGGCUCGCUGCUGACGCUGAGGUGCGAAAGCUAGGGUAGCGAACGGGAUUAGAUACCCCGGUAGUCCUAGCCCUAAACGAUGUGCACUAGGCAGGGGGGGGCCCCGAUGCCCUCCUUGUUGGAGCUAAUGUGUUAAGUGCACCCGCCUGGGAGUACAGUCGCAAGGCCG